AUUUACAUUCCUACAACAUAGCAUUAUUGCAUCGGAUCCCAUUAGAACUCCGCAGUUAAGCUCCCUUGGGAUAGAGUAGUACUGGGAUGGGUGAUCGCCCGGGAAGUCCUAGUGUUUUAAAUG
rnacentral:rRNA from 1 species